rnacentral:rRNA from 1 species
CCCUUAGAUGUUCUGGGCCGCACGCGUGCUACACUGAUGCAUUCAACGAGUCUAAAACCUGGUCUGAUAGGGCUGGGUAAUCUUUUGAAAGUGCAUCGUGAUUGGGAUAGAUGAUUGCAAUUCUUCAUCUUCAACGAGGAAUGCCUAGUAAACGCAAGUCAUCAGCUUGCAUUGAAUACGUCCCUGCCCUUUGUACACACCGCCCGUCGCUCCUACCGAUUGAGUGGUCCGGUGAGGCUUUGGGAUCUGAGCGGAAAGAGCGUUUCGCUGUUUCUGCUCGGAAAACUCAGUCGAACCUUAUCAUUUAGAGGAAGGAGAAGUCGUAACA